rnacentral:lncRNA from 1 species
UGCAAAUUUUGAAUUAAUCGGUCAGUAAGCAAUGUGAAUUUAAAUUAAUUAGUUAGUGAGUUUUUGAACAUAUGAUGAACCCCCGCCCCGCCAGUGUGUUAGUUGAAACAGUAGGUCUACCUAUCUCCAAUAAAAUACCAAGUAAUGAUCAUAUAUCGUAGCUUUCCAUUUCAAUGGUAUACAUAGACGGAAGUAGGAUUUGAACCUUAUGAAUUCAGGAUUGUAAUUGUUUUAAGUUAUUGGAUUUUAAAUUAAAUAAUUUAUAUAUAUUAUUUAAAUUUUUAAUACAAAUACAUAAUUUGAAUAAGUUAUUAGAUUCGGUCGAACCGUAAGCUAGAAUAAGGGGAAGGGUUCCUGCAGUCCAAAUUAAGCGUAGUGGUCCUAACAGGAUUGCUUUCCAAAAAUGGUUCUUACUUUUCUUUUACUUCGCAUAUUAUAGGUUAUAUCUUUGAGUGUCGUCGGAAAUCAAAUGAUGAUUAAUUAGUUGAUGCUGCUCAUAAUGUGUCUCUACUUAUAUAUAUCUUUAUAUCAGUGAAACUUGUGGCCUUUCCGUCGCAGUCGCUUUGACUGACAUGUAUUAAUAUGUACAGACAGAUUUUGUACUAACGAAAUCGAUUUGCCAUUGGAGGAAAAGAAGUGUUAAAGUACUGAGGCGUGAAGACCAACCCAGAUCGGCUUUCUGGAUUUUCAUGUAAGUUGUUCACUCCUGUGUCUAUGUCAAUCAUUCAAUUCACAACUCUAUUUUUUUUUAUAACUAUAAUGUCCGGGUCACGCAUUUCGAUUAAUUUCAGUGAUUAUAUGUUACCUCUCAACAACAUAUUCUUCGACAAAGAUAUAUGUUUGUUUAUAUUCUUGACAUAUAAGCCAAAUUGUUUAAUUUGUCAUUAUAUUGUUCGGUUUUAUAUUGUGAAGAACAGGAUGGAUGAUAAUGAACUUGAAGUGGAUGGAAAAGCUAUUGAGAUGUGGAAAACCAUGUCAAAGGAGGUACUUCAUUUGGAUCUAUUGAUGGUACUAAAGCUUUUAUUUGUGUUUCUUAGUCAUUACUGUGCUCUUGUUCAAAUAUGAAAUGUGUUUGAAUCACCAGGUAUUGGGUUCUUCACAUUAUAAAUUUUUAUUAUUGAUGUAUAGACAUUUGGAUUCCUUUUCUGUGCGUCAUAUAUGUUGCUCUUGAAUAUUCCUUGAACGAUAAUGCAGCAGUACUAUUUAAGCAUUUGGCGGUAGUUAAACGACUAGAUUCUUCUGCUCUUAAUUGACUUACUAUAUGACAUUCAUUAUUGAAUUUUCCGGCAACGAGCAACUUGAUAUUAUUUGGAGAAAUCCAAAUUUCAGCCUUGGCGAAUUUAACCAAUGGAAGAGGAGCACUAUAUAUUGCAUUAUAUCUUUGACGUGACUAAUGGCAUCGCACUUAAGUUGUAUGUAAACAAAUACUAUGUAGGUGCGUCAAUUAUCUGAUGUCUUCAAUAUACAUCAGCCUCUAUUUGGAUCCUAUUAACCUAAUAUUUAAAUAUGAUUAAAUCUCUUAAAAUUUUGUAUGAAAAUUUAUCCAUUUUCAGUGACUAUCAUAUUUGACUGAGGGCAUUUUUUCUGUUAAGCUUAAUAAUCUCUAUAAACCGAC